GUGAGGAAUUUUCCGCAAUGGGCGAAAGCCUGACGGAGCAAUGCCGCGUGAAGGAUGAAGGCCUAUGGGUUGUAAACUUCUUUUCUCAGAAAAGAAUUAUGACGGUAUCUGAGGAAUAAGCAUCGGCUAACUCUGUGCCAGCAGCCGCGGUAAGACAGAGGAUGCAAGCGUUCCGGAAUGAUUGGGCGUAAAGCGUCUGUAGGUUGUUUAAAAAGUAUUCUGUCAAAGAUUAGGGCUUAACCAUAGAUAGGCAGAAUAAACUUUUAAGCUAGAGGUUGGUAGAGGCAGAUGUAAUUCCCGCUGGAGCGGUGAAAUGCGUAGAUAUCGGGAGGAACACCAAAGGCGAAGGCACUCUGCUGGGCCAAUACUAACACUGAGAGACGAAAGCGAGGGGAGCAAAUGGGAUUAGAUACCCUGGUAGUCC
rnacentral:rRNA from 1 species